AAUUUUUUUAGGUUGACCUCGGAUCAGGUAGGAAUACCCGCUGAACUUAAGCAUAUCAAUA
rnacentral:rRNA from 1 species